CGCCUGGGGAGUACGGGUGAGGUAACGGCUCACCAAGGCAUCGACGGGUAGCUGGUAUGAGAGGAUGAUCAGCCACACUGGGACUGAGACACGGCCCAGACUCCUACGGGAGGCAGCAGUGGGGAAUAUUGCACAAUGGGCGAAAGCCUGAUGCAGCAACGCCGCGUGCGGGAUGAAGGCCCUAGGGUUGUAAACCGAUUUCAGCAGGGAAGAAAAUGACGGUACCUGUAGAAGAAGGUGCGGCCAACUACGUGCCAGCAGCCGCGGUGACACGUAGGCACCAAGCGUUGUCCGGAUUUAUUGGGCGUAAAGAGCUCGUAGGCGGUUCAGUAAGUCGGGUGUGAAAACUCUGGGCUCAACCCAGAGACGCCACCCGAUACUGCUGUGACUAGAGUGCGGUAGGGGAGCGGGGAAUUCCUAGUGUAGCGGUGAAAUGCGCAGAUAUUAGGAGGAACACCAGUGGCGAAGGCGCCGCUCUGGGCCGUAACUGACACUGAGGAGCGAAAGCGUGGGUAGCAAACAGGAUUAGAUACCCUGGUAGUCCACGCCGUAAACGUUGGGCACUAGGUGUGGGUCUCAACCAACGAGAUCCGCGCCGUCGCUAACGCAUUAAGUGCCCCGCCUGGGGAGUACG
rnacentral:rRNA from 1 species